rnacentral:rRNA from 1 species
GACGAACGCUGGCGGCGUGCCUAAUACAUGCAAGUUGAGCGCUGAAGGUUGGUACUUGUACCAACUGGAUGAGCAGCGAACGGGUGAGUAACGCGUGGGGAAUCUGCCUUUGAGCGGGGGACAACAUUUGGAAACGAAUGCUAAUACCGCAUAAAAACUUUAAACACAAGUUUUAAGUUUGAAAGAUGCAAUUGCAUCACUCAAAGAUGAUCCCGCGUUGUAUUAGCUAGUUGGUGAGGUAAAGGCUCACCAAGGCGAUGAUACAUAGCCGACCUGAGAGGGUGAUCGGCCACAUUGGGACUGAGACACGGCCCAAACUCCUACGGGAGGCAGCAGUAGGGAAUCGUCGGCAAUGGACGAAAGUCUGACCGAGCAACGCCGCGUGAGUGAAGAAGGUUUUCGGAUCGUAAAACUCUGUUGGUAGAGAAGAACGUUGGUGAGAGUGGAAAGCUCAUCAAGUGACGGUAACUACCCAGAAAGGGACGGCUAACUACGUG